rnacentral:rRNA from 1 species
GUCUACGGCCAUACCACCCUGAACGCGCCCGAUCUCGUCUGAUCUCAGAAGCUAAGCAGGGUCGGGCCUGGUUAGUACUUGGAUGGGAGAAGUAAACAAGAUAGACA